rnacentral:pre_miRNA from 1 species
UGGACAGAUUAUUGUAUUCGACUGUAUUUACGACAUGAAACAAGGGAUUACACUGUUUUUAAACGGAAAAUGUAUCAAUUAACAUAAUAGACUCCU